AUGGCGAAGCAUCUGAGGACCUCCCCGGUGGCUUUGUGGCUUUAUUUUCAUAGGGUGAGCGGCCACAACCAAGUGGAACAGAGUACUCCAUCUCUGACUGUCCUGGAGGAAGAGAACUGCACAUUUCAGUGCAAUUAUACAGUGAGUCCCUUUAACAACUUAAGGCGGUACAAACAGGACACAGAGAGAGCUCUUGUUUCCCUGAUAAUCAUGACUUUCAGUGACAGUGACAGGAAGAAGUCGAAUGGAAGGUACACAGCGACUCUGAAUCCAACUGCCAAGUACAGCUCCCUGCACGUCACAGCUGCCCAGCUCAGCGAGCCAGCUGUCUGCGUCUGCGUGGUGGGCGCAGCGUGCUCCGCGGGCACUGGCAGCCAGUACCCAAACCUGCGCCUGCAGGAUGUCGAGGAGGCCCCGGAGGUGAAGCAGGAGCAGUUUUUGAAUGUUGUCUGUGAUUCGCAAGUGAGCUACUACUUCUCUCUCAGACAUGAUUGA